CCUGAUUCCCUAGGUUCCUUAAGGAAUUAGUUGAUUCUCUUCAAAAGUCAUUUGCCCAAGCGAAUUGGUCAAGAAUAUCUCAAAUGUCAUUCUUUAAAAGUGAACUUGGAGAACAAAGUACAAACUUUUAGAACUCCUGGCAAUUGAUUUCUUCUGCUUAAAAACCUGAAAAAGUUGGCAGAAGGAAAACAAAUUUGAAGUUCAGCCAGUUCACCAGAGAACAAGUACUUACCAAUUCAGAUUUCUUUUUAUAUAAGACCCAAUUCAGAACUCGCAUUGCUCGAUCUUCACACAAUAACCAAUCUCUGUUCUCAUUCAAAGCCUACUUUAGCUGGAGAGUGGUGAUCAUAGACAUGAAAGGGUUAAGAAUUGUAUCUUUUGUCACAAGAAAGUAUCAGUGAUACUUUACUACUCCAGAUUCCAACUAUUCAAUCUUCACCUUUUUUCUAAACUUCGUUAUCAACUCAACAUGCCAGCUUGAUUCUCACAAAUUGUCAGCAGUUUUUAUAUGUACUAGUAUAAGAGUUCCACUGUUCCUCUAUCAUUCUCUUGCCCAGCAAAGCAUAAAUCUUGUUCACCAUAUAGGCCCAAAAUCGCUCUCUCAUUCCUAGUUUCUAAAUUACACUGAAACAAUACAAAAUCCAUCAGGCUCUCGUAAGAGGACUUUCAUUUGGUUUGAAUGGACAAUGGCAACAUCACAUGAUGCCGCUUGUUGCUCAGAAGAUCUCAAUCGCCAAUCAACAUUAGAAAUAGCCUUGUAAACACUCUUGAGGAAACGAUAUCUAUUUGUCAAGGGUAAUGGUUCAGUUUGUGCAGCCAGAAUAAAAUGGUAUAGCAUGAACUAAAUAUUUCAAACCCAAUACAUUUUCAAAAUAUAUCUGCACUUCUGGCCACAACAUCUCCAAUCUCUUUUUUUGAGUCGACAGAUUUCACAUAACUAUCGAUCCAAAUCACUUUUUAUACAAGUGCAUCACCAAUCAAAAGAGCCAAGUCCUCGGCAAUAUUUCUGUAUGAAAUUCUUGAUCUAAAAUGUCGUCCGAGCUACAAAGUUAAUAAAUGCAGAAGAUCGGUGUAUUCAUAUCAAAAUUCUUAAAUCAUCACGAUCAUAAAGGCUUUCUGCCACAUACGAUAUCUAGUCCAACUGCCGAUCCAAAAUAAAGAUGUUUGUCACCUAUGAACUCCCAGACUACUCAUUCACCAUUCAAUGCCCAAAUUGAAUGAAAAUCAUGCAAGCAAGAAAAGCAAAUAGCCAGAGUAAAACACACAACAUUUGCACAAACAAGGGAAAUGUAGUCAAUCUAUUAGGGGAAGUAGUCAAGUUUUCGGAAUAAUUUAUUAUCUCGCUAUUGAGAAGGCUAAUGUAGCCAUAAAACUAUACUUUAAAAAUAACGUAGUCAGUGGAAGCAGAAGCAAAAAACAAUCACUUACAUAAACUGUGAAAACAACAGCAGAGAUCAUGAUUGACCACCCCCAGUCACCAGCAAAAUCAUCCACCAUUUUCCUCGC
rnacentral:lncRNA from 1 species